CGUUCUUUACCAGUGUUGGGCAGUGUUUGUUAUGCAUGUUUGGUUUGAAAUCUUAGCGAUUACUGACUCUUGUGGGUUUUCAUUUGGCAUGUCAUUUUCUGGAUCUGUGUGCAGAUUAGUGGCGUGGGUGUGCUUUGGUUUUUCGAGUGGUUUGUAACCUGGGUUAAGGUUAGGUAGGGGAGGAACAUGAGUCUCAGUGAGAGCUCAACUAUAUACAAUAUGGCCCAGAUGUUGGGCUUGGUACCCCUUGUUGGUACCGUGGGGGUGGUGAGCAUGCGUGUAUUGGAAAGACAUAGCCAAACUCAUUACAGACAGU